UGUAGCAUGGAACAAAUAUCUUCUAUCAUUCGUUCACACAAACUGAUCUUCGAUUCUCCAUUCAAACAGCGUAAUCGGAAACCAAAGUAAAACGCGAAUCCGGACUGCAGAGUCCCAAAUUGAGUUCAUCAAUGGCAUCUUGCACGCUUUCUGGUUUGUGAUUUACGAUUGCUCGCCGUAGAAUCCGACGGUCCAAACGCAAUUCAAGUCCGAUGUAUGACGGAGUUUAUGAUUCUACAAUGUCAAAUAAGUUAAGCGAAAGUGGUAAAUCAUAUACCAGAGUCUGGCGCGGUGGCUUGUCGGCUUCACAGUAGUGCUUAUGUUACGUGAAGAUUGGUAGGUGGAAUUUCAGAGGAUUCUGAGAAUUGGAGCGAGAAGAGUGAAGAUUUGAUUUGCGAGUUCUGGAAUGUUCAAAGUUGAAACAGAAUGAAGAGUGUGAUGAAGAUUAUAUAGAGAAGCUUCGUGUAACAUAUUAGGGUAGCUUGGACAGGUAUGUUAAUCUAGUUAGGGCACUGUUAAGCUCCAGUUGGAUUUGCAGGGUGAGUUUGUUAUCUGUUAUGACUGUUAGAUUUUUGGGUUAAUGAUUCCUCUUUGUUUUCAUCCGUAAUCUAACAUCUAGCUAUUGUUCUGUUAAAGUCUAUGCAGGUUGUUAGUGAGUUCUGUUUUAUUAACUCAUGGUUGUGCAUUCCUAUUGUGAGCUUAUUUGAAAGGUGGAAUUCAUUAUUGGAGAUGGCUUUGAGCUGCUCUGCUAUUAUGAAUCAAGGCUUGUGUGAAUGAGUUUUCGGUUACAUUCUGCGAGCUACAACUUGGAGAAUUACCGGGAGCUUGCCAAAAAGGACCGAUGUGAAUAUGUUAUGGAGAUUUGUAUAUUUGUAAGCUGCAGUUGUGGACUUGUUUUAUGGAAUAUGCUGAAUGUUUGUGUAUUGAAUGUUUAGAUUGAAAUGGAACUUACUUCAUUGUAUUGGGUAUGACAUCUUAAUUUUGAAUUAAUGUGUGUAAUAGGAUGUUAUUGAAUGUUGUAGGAAAUUGAUUGAAUGGGGAGUUAAUUAAAAUUAAGUGUGUA